AGUUUUGUAUUCAACUAUGAUUUUAAAUUGCAAAUUUAAAGGUGAUUUUUAAAUCCAAAACUU
rnacentral:tRNA from 1 species